rnacentral:misc_RNA from 1 species
UACGGGGGGGGCGAGCGUUGUUCGGAAUUACUGGGCGUAAAGGGUUCGUAGGUGGCCCGCCAAGUCAGACGUGAAAUCCCUCGGCUCAACCGAGGAACUGCGUCUGAAACUGGCGGGCUCGAGUGCAGGAGAGGAACGCGGAAUUCCAGGUGUAGCGGUGAAAUGCGUAGAUAUCUGGAGGAACACCGGUGGCGAAGGCGGCGUUCUGGACUGCAACUGACACUGAGGAACGAAAGCCAGGGGAGCAAACGGG